rnacentral:tRNA from 1 species
GCGGGGGUGCCCGAGCCAGGUCAAAGGGGGCGGUGAGCAAUCGCCCAAACUUAAGAUCCGCUGGCGAAGGCCUGCGUGGGUUCGAAUCCCACCCCCCGCACCA